rnacentral:lncRNA from 1 species
CCGACCACGUGCACGGCAUCUUGGGGCACGGGUUCCCGCCGUCUCCCCACUGUAAAGGAGCGGCUUACUCCAGAGGUCCAGCCCCCUCACACACAAUCACGGAACCCGUGGAUGAGGCAGUAUUUGAGACCAGAAGUUUAUUGGGGACUUGGGUUUGGUUUUUGUUUGGUUGGUUUUGUCGUUGUUUUUAGAGUCGGGGGUUUCGCUGUGUUGCCCAGGCUGCUAUCGGACUCCUGACCUCAAGCGAUCCUCUUGCUUGGCCUCCCAAAGUGUUGGGAUUACAGGCGUGAGCCACCGCACCUGGCCGGGGACUUGUUUCUAAUGGAAAAUUGUGUAUGUGCUGUAUUGUUAAGAGCAUUGGUUUGGGGUCAGACUAGGCUGUGAUUCGGGUCUCUCCACUUCUUAUUAUCGUCUUUGCUACCAGACACAUACUCACUCGUGUUCCCAAUUGCUAUACUCACAAGGGCUCACUCCCAUCGCCAUCCUUCGUAAUUUCAAAGGGUCUACGGUUAAAAGAUCUCAACUUUGUUACCCAGGCAGGAGUGCAGUGGCACAAUCUUGGCUCACUGCAACCUCUGCAUCCCAGGUUCAAGCGAUCCUCCUGCUUUAGCCCCCACAAGUAGCUGAGACUAUAGGCAGCGCCACCACCAUAUCCAACUAAUUUUUUUCUUUUGUAUUUUUUGUAGAGACAGGGUUUCCCCCUGUUGCCCAGUCUGGCAUCGAUCACCUAAGCUCAAGCGAUCCACCCAUCUUGGCCUCCCAAAAUGCUAGGAUUAUAGGUGUCAGCCACUGCACCCGGCCCUGACCCAGGAGCCAGUGGCAUCUGAAAUUUUUUUAAAAGCCAGAGAAGAUCUAUGUUGACCUGAUGAUCUUUCACCUUCUAGAUCUCCCUGAACCACUGGCCAAAUCUUUCAAUAAAGAAUGUGCUUAACCUGCCUCUUAAGACCCAUGUAUUUGCACAAGAAGGAAAAAAAAAACCAGAAAAAAAAGCAAAACUAGAGCUGCCUGCCUGUGCUGAAGCUUUUUCAGUAAUUUCAGAGCCACUGAAGUGAUGUGAGAUCAGUUGACAAGAGAAAAACACUCUGAGAUCUGCCAGAAUGACCCUCAAGGGGAGAAAAAUAAUUAAACAGGUGGAAAAACAAGGAACACGCAAGACUGAUCAAAGCGUUUCUUUUCUGUUGAACAGCUUUUGCUGACUUCUGGUACCAUCAGUUUUCUUGAGUACAAUAAAGACCAACAAAUGCAGAAUGUUAGUUACGGGCCUUACUCAAUCAGGCUCAAAGGCUUUACUGGGGUUACAGGAAGCCAAGUACCCAGUCCACUAAUGUCCUGGGAGAAAAGCCUGAAGGCAGAGCAUGGUAGGUUUUCUCUUGCAGCCUGCAGGCUGAUCUGAUGGGACUUCAAUUCUGUCACUUCCUUGCUCUGUGACAUUGAACAUUCUGUAAGCCUCUGGGCCUCAGCUUUCUCAUCCAUGGAAGUGGGAUUACAGUGUCUAACCUGCAGGGCUGCUGUGUGUUUAUAUAUGUGCAUAGAACAUAAUGGCCUUCCCUUGAUAGAAGCAGAGAUUGGACAUGUGGCCUCUGACAAGUUACUUUUUUUUUUCUACAAGUUUCCCUCUCCUCUCCCCCAUUCAGAAAGUGGAAGGGGUAAUUCUUCAGGGAAUUUGUGAGAUGUUACCACAAGGUUACACAAUGGCUUGCUGUAAACUAUUUUAUGUCUUUUUUUUUUUUUUUUUUUUGAGACGGAGUCUUGCUCUGUCACUCAGGCUGGAGUGCAGUGGUGCGAUCUCGAUCUCAGCUCACUGCAACCUCCAACUCCCAGGCUCAAGCGAUUCUCAUGCCUCAGCAUCCUGAGUAGCUGGGACUACAGGUGCACACCACCACGCCCCAGUAAAUUUUUUGUAUUUUCAGUAGAGACAGGGUUUCGCUAUGUUGGCCAGGCUCGUCUCGAACUCCUGGCCUCAAAUGAUCCACCAGCCUCGGCCUCCCAAAGUGCUGGGAUUACAGGUGUGAGCCAUAUUUUAUGCCUUUUAUCAGGGCAUCCUCUGUAGGUUUACAUGACAUAAAAUUGCCCAGAGGGCAACUGAAGAGCAUCACUCUACAAUUUGGGAGAGGUAAAGGGAAAAGAAUCAGAUGGGUAAGAUACAUAAAAGGUAUAUAGCUAUGAAGUUGUUCAAUACUCAGUACACACCGUGGUUAAACACAGAUGCAAAAGCCGGAUUGCAAGUUUGAAUCUUGGCUCCAUCACUGCACAUCCUUGGGCUGGUUCCUUAACCUCUCUCAGUCUCAUAUCCCAUAAAAAAAAAAAAAGAAUUAAAUUAGUCAAUAUAAAUGUAAAAGUUCUUACAACUAGCUGGCACAUAGAAAGCUGUUAGCAGGCAGGGCAUGGUGGCUCACAUCCAUAAUCCCAGCACUUUGGG